UCUCCUCCACUGCCUGGAAAAAGUGUUAAGAUCAGCAGCUGGAACUCUGUUAAUUUUGCCACAGCCUGAUGAUAAUGAUCUUACUUAAGUUAUGGUUGCCAGAUCUCCGGUUUUUGCCCAGAGACUCCAGAUUUUUGGGAUCCUCUCUGGGACUCCAGGAACAAGUUGAAAUUUUCCUGGGCUGUUGAAGAGGCUGUGUUUUGAAACCCUUCCCAAUAUGAAACUCUAAUCCUAUACUCACUUUCCUGAGAGUAAAGCUGCAAUGGUAAUCCCACUUACCCGGUGUAAACCCCAUUGAAUUUAAUAGGGCUUACAUUUGAGUAGACAUGGUUAUGAUUGUACUGUAAAUGGGACUUUUGAGUGAACAUAGCAAAGGAUUAUGGUUGUGUUGUAAAUUUUCCUUUCCUCCUCCAAUCCUAUUUUCUAAAAUCAAUUAGGCAGGGCUUACAUGGGUAUCACUGCUUUUAUUUUGUAGGAAACUAACUCUGAUUUUAAUUUUUUUUUUUAAAAAAAGUUUAG